ACGAGCGAGAGAGAGCUUGCUUUCUCAAGCGAGUGGCGAACGGGUGAGUAACGCGUGAGGAACCUGCCUCAAAGAGGGGGACAACAGUUGGAAACGACUGCUAAUACCGCAUAAGCCCACGACCCGGCAUCGGGUAGAGGGAAAAGGAGCAAUCCGCUUUGAGAUGGCCUCGCGUCCGAUUAGCUAGUUGGUGAGGUAACGGCCCACCAAGGCGACGAUCGGUAGCCGGACUGAGAGGUUGAACGGCCACAUUGGGACUGAGACACGGCCCAGACUCCUACGGGAGGCAGCAGUGGGGAAUAUUGCACAAUGGGGGAAACCCUGAUGCAGCGACGCCGCGUGGAGGAAGAAGGUCUUCGGAUUGUAAACUCCUGUUGUUGAGGAAGAUAAUGACGGUACUCAACAAGGAAGUGACGGCUAACUACGUGCCAGCAGCCGCGGUAAAACGUAGGUCACAAGCGUUGUCCGGAAUUACUGGGUGUAAAGGGAGCGCAGGCGGGAAGACAAGUUGGAAGUGAAAUCCAUGGGCUCAACCCAUGAACUGCUUUCAAAACUGUUUUUCUUGAGUAGUGCAGAGGUAGGCGGAAUUCCCGGUGUAGCGGUGGAAUGCGUAGAUAUCGGGAGGAACACCAGUGGCGAAGGCGGCCUACUGGGCACCAACUGACGCUGAGGCUCGAAAGUGUGGGUAGCAAACAGGAUUAGAUACCCUGGUAGUCCACACUGUAAACGAUGAUUACUAGGUGUUGGAGGAUUGACCCCUUCAGUGCCGCAGUUAACACAAUAAGUAAUCCACCUGGGGAGUACGACCGCAAGGUUGAAACUCAAAGGAAUUAACGGGGGCCCGCACAAGCAG
rnacentral:rRNA from 1 species